UGUAAACAGAGGACUGGAAAUGUUUGUGCACAGGGUGUUGCCCCUUUUGCUGCUGAAACCCUGAGACUGCCAUGUAAAGAAGCUUGAACUAGCCUACUAGAGGAUGAGACGCCACAUGGAGAAUGCCCCCAGCUAUUCCAGCUAAGGUCUCAGAGAUACCUAGAAUCGGCCAUUUCUCUGAGGAGUCCUGGGGAUGCACUGAAGCACACAAUCUGGGCUCCCAAACAGAUCCUGAGAUGACAUUGCUGACAGGCCACUCUGCUUAUUGAGAUGUAAUCUGGAGCCUGCAACGCCUUCUGCCGUCCUCAAACCCCUGGUUCUAGUCUUUGUUCUCAAGUCUGCUCACCGUGGUUCUCACUCAAGACGCAACCCUCUCCUGUGUUUGACCAUUUGGAGAAUUCAUUCAAGACUUGGGAAUUACAGAAAUAGCCCACAGAGGAUAAUUCACAUCUGCUCCAAGAGUCAUUACUUCCAGAGCCUGGAGCCCCGAACUCAUCUUCAGGGAUCUUAACUGCUUCUCAGGAGACCCUUGCAAGUCAGGGAUCAACUGAAGCCACCCAUGGAGGAAUGAGUCUUCCUAAAAGUGGGAGUAAAGUCUUCCCCAGUGUGGUAUAGUUCCCAGGGUGCCUAAGUCCUACCUUAGCACCUCACCCAACACACACUGUGGUCUGACGCAAAUGGCCAGGACUGGACUGUUGCAGCUGAACCAGGCCAGGUUCCCAGUGGGGGCUGCUCGCUCUGUGUGUGAAGCCAUCACCCUGUGCAUAGCUCUCUACCAAGCCCAGGACAGUCUUUCUUCUAACCCGAUGUGAAGGAAACCUGCCUUGGCCAACACUCAUAAUCUCCAUGAGAAACACAUAGACAGCGCUAAUACUUUUUUCUGACAUAGGAUACUUUCAAUUUAGCUUUAGGAGAAAAGAAACUCUCUCCCGCCCUUCUGUUGCAUCCUCACUUUAUGGGACUAACCAGAACAUAGA
rnacentral:lncRNA from 1 species